UUUUUUUUUGUAACAAUAAUUAAUGUAGGGAGUCGGGACACACUAUUGCAGAGGGUGCUUUCUAUAGUGUCCUGAAGAAAAUUGUGAAGGUGUUAAAGUAGCAGAAGCUACUAAUUGUUUGAUAGAGAUCAGCCAAUUAGCCCAUCAAACCUUUUUAUCACGUUUGAAUUUCUUUUCGUGAGGCUGACUAUUCUUGUUUCCUUUUCUAUUUAUUUUUAUUUUUAUGAGCCACUACGCACUACAUAAAAGGUUUGGAAGCUAGGAGCAGCACUUGCAGAGUUUUGCAGUCAGCAGACGCAUCACCAAGAUGGCAUGAACUGUACAAAUACUGUAUGAAUCAGUUGAUAAGAAAGGUGCUUAGCACUUACCAGGUAACCUCGAAAAGCAGCUUGCGCCUUCACUGCUGCUAGUUCUUCUCUCAGUUUCUCUGGACUAAUUUGCGUGUCGGACCCAACUCUAACCAUGUUUUCGAUUGCCCUCCCGUUGGGCAAGUUAGAAAUUUCCGACACAUUGUGGGAGCUAACAAGUACCGGUUCCGAGAUGAGGGGAGAAUUAUCAGAGGAUUCAGGCUCCUUCCCAGCAGUGUAUCCGUUGCUGUUUGCAGCCUUCUAUAUUUCAGGGAAGAGAUAUGAUUAACUCAGCUAGUCAUCAAAAGUAGAAGAAAAACACAAUAUGCACUUGAAAGCAACCCGAGAACAUGAAUAAAGCAGAUGAAAGCAAGAGGAACAUGAAAGGCAAUGCACGUAAUGUUACUUUGGUGUGCAAUCCAGUCAAGGAGCCGUGCAGACUAAUGACAAUUUGAUGUCUUAAUACGUGUAUUGCCUUCAAAUGGCUGUGUGCAUCAUAUGAUGCAGAGGCCGGGGUCUUUCCCCUUUUCGAAAAAAAAUGUAUUGCCUCCAAGACCAGUAUUGUGGAAGAGCUGGCUAGGACUUUCUUUCAAGCUAAAAUAGAAGGAUGCAUCGAUAAACCCAAAAUUGGACCAGAAAAAUAUAUAACUGCUAACAUAUGUAAAAGCUAACUCCAAUGAAUAUGUAAAAAAAAAAGUUUCUGCGAAUUGCGUAAAUCAACUGUCAAGCCCUUAGGAAAACUAGCUCUUUUUUUUGGAAAAGGAGAGGAAAACUAGCUCUUAAUUAACAAGAGAUGUGCAUUAUGAAAGUUCUUACUGCUGGAAGAUCCUUUGCCUUGGUAGAACUGGAUUUUGUUGAUUUCUUCCCGAGGAGCACGGACUUUAUCCACUUGGCCGGGGACUUCCCCAUAGUAGCCUACAAAAACUGCUCAAACACGGGAGAUUCUGGACCUGCAGUAGAGCAACUCGUCAGUACACAGAUCCACACACCACACGGCUCUCUUUAAUCUUGGAAAAAAAACUCAUAGGCGGCAGGCCGAAGUAGCCGUAACCAGUAAACGCAGGCUGGAAAUCUUGUCAAAAAAGCAGGGACACACAGUGAAGGAAGACAGACGACGAUGACUGGAAUGCCACGGCAGGGAAAAGCGCAAAAGGCGAGCAAGCAAGGUCCAAACCGGCAGAAGAAACCACCAAAAGCCAAUCCGAGCGGAGCGCACGGAUCUGAAGAAGCAACAAGCACAAGCCCAGCGACUCCACGAAAAGCGGCGGCCACGACCGCGAACCCCACGACCAACACAACACAGGCAGUUGGCGCAGAACGCCGGCAGUCUCGCGCGCGAGCACUCAGCGGAAACACGGGCGUAAUGCGGCACGAGGAUUCUAGAGAAACAAAAGGAAAAUGCGGCACGGGAAUGGCGCGACGCGACGCACGAACCUGGGCUGGGCUGGGCUCGGCGUCGGCGCUCUCCCGGCAGAUUGCUCACCCGCUACCCCCUCUAUCCGCGCCCACCACCGCUCGCGAGUCACGCCUCCAUUGCGGGACGGACGCAGACGCGCGCGGCCGAAGGAGAGCGCUCCUCCUACUGUUUGUUCUGUUCUGUAGCGUGGAGCAGAGGAGAGAGAGAGGUUGUGGCGAGAGAGACGAAGGAGCCGGAGAGAAGAGGAAAUGAGCGACUGACAGACAGACUGAGACGGUGCGCGGGGCCCGCGCCGCAACGGAAUGCACCGUCGCCUCACCUCACCUGCCGGUACGUACGCAUCCGCAAGCUGACGUGUGGGGCCAGCCGGAGGAACCAGCCCGUCGCAGUUGGGUGCCGGGCUGGUGGGGCCAGCAUGCCCCCAGGACGAGAUGUCAGUGAGGCGUCGAAUUUAGUGUUUGGAGUUUAGAGCGGUUGGUUGAAUAAAAAGUGGAGUUGCCGAAGGCUGCUGCAAACUGGCACGGCCUCCGCUUUUCCAGCUUUCGUGGCGUGAUGAGCUGGCUGGCUGUCCCUCUGCGGUACGUGCGUGCGUCCGUGCGAGCGGAUGGUGGCGCGGGACCGGGAACGCACGUACGGGACCUCUCGUCAGUGCAGGUGUGCGUCCGGGAGCCGGUGUUAAAAGUGUGGAGGCGGGAAGCCAGUGGAGUGACUGACAUCCAUCGAUCGGCGAGAAACUCCCGUGUCGCUUCCCGCAGCGGCCCGGGAGAACCCUAAAUCGCCGCCGCCGGUCAACUUCCCGCCUCGCCCUACCCUCCUCGCCGCCGCCGGAGUACGCCGGCGGGCAAAGCCCGAGCGGCGGCGGCGGCGGGGUCUUCUCCAUCUCGCAAGGAGCACGAGCUGCGGGGGUGGCUCGGCCACGGGGAUGUGGAUCUCGACGAGGCGCCGUCGGGUUCCUGGCGGCUGACUGGCGACGCGGUAGUCGGCGCGCCAGGUGGCGGGGGGAGCGCUGCAGGGUGGCGCGGAUCUGGCGCGGCCGUCGGCGUGCGAGGUGGAGGGGAGAGCGCAGCGGGGUGGCGCAGAUCUGAUGCGGCCGCCGUCGCGCGUGGUGGAAGAGGAGCGCUGCAGGGUGGCGCGGAUCUGACGCGGGCGCGGGAUGAACGCUGCCGGCGCCCCCAGCGAGGAUCUGCUUGGUGGCGGCGUCGGUGCAUGAGGAAGGUUGGCGACACGGCGGUGAGGGGCUCCAAGCCCGAUCUGAGUUUGGGCGGUCCUGCGCCCAAAUCUUGAUGGCCGGUGGUGCCUGGAUAGGGGAGGCGGGAGCGGUGGCCCGGUGGAUGCUGGUGGGUUCCCCCUUGCAAGCGUGUGCACGUCCAGCUCCUGGAGCAGGGGCGCCUUCCAGCCUGUUGGUGCUAGAGGAAGCUCGGGCAGACCAGAUCCAGCACGGAGGUCCGGUCCUUGCGCGCGGCGGCGCGAGCACGUUAAGUCUUGGCUUGGUUUUGCUCUGUUCGGCGUGCUGCGGUGCGGGCCGGUCAACUAUGGUUCUACUUUGGUCUUUCCUGUGCGCUGCGGUGCGAAUUCUCGCCCAGAUCUGCGCACGGAGCCGGAGGAUGGCCGGAGUCGAUUUGGUUCGCCCAGGUCCUGCGAGCGGCGGUGCGGACCGGUCAGGUUGGCGUGUGCUCGCCUAGGUUCUGCGUGCGGCAGCGACUAUACCGUGGCUGGUGGUGUGCUUGGCCUUGUUCUGCCCGGUGGUGUUGGGCUGGUCUCGGAUUCUGGAUGGUUGGCAGAAGGCUUGACUCUGGAUGAAAAUCUUGCAUCGACCUCGUCGGUGCCGACGGUAACGGCAUUUUUGGAUGUCGUCUUCUUCCUUGGAGGUGCCGCCGUGGAGCUUAUUGCUCUUCUUGCCUCAUGGCGGAGGUCUCCGGGUGAAAACCUAAGAUCUGGCGGAGCCAGAUUGGAUGACGGUAGUGUUCUAGAUACCACUUCCUUCUUGGAGGCGUCAUCUUGGAGGCCUUGACGAUGGAUUCCGAUGAUGUGCACGGUUGCUGGCGGAUCUUGGGUUUGUGUUGGUGUCGGCGGGUGUCCAUUUUCUUUCUUUUCUUUCUGCACCAGCCCUUUUGCUGUGCUUUCCUCCGUUGGAGGUGUUCUGUUACUCCCCUUCUGAUCAAUGAAUUUGGCAAGCUUUGCCAACAUUCAAAAAAAAGUGUGGAGGCGGGUCCAGCGGGGUUUAGCAUCUUCAUUUGCGCUUAUGAUGACCCUACUGACCUGACGGAUAAUACUGCGCCGUGAUUCAGAAUUCCCAUCAAAAAUGUGCACUGAAACAUAGCAAUUUCAAUAGUACGACGCCGGUCAACCAAACACUAGCCUUGCCCUUGCAUGACCAAAGUUUUUGGGCCGGCAACAAAACAAUAUCACACGAGCCAGCCUUUAAAAUGAACGAGUUUUGGGGCCGGCAACAAAGUCAGCGGCCAAUACAGCAGCCAGUCUUCAAAAUGAACGGGCAUAGUCCUCGGCCGUAGUCUCACCUAGUUCAGGCCAUCGCGGGCGAACAUCUCCUUCUAUUGGUUCACGAACCAAGCCUUCCUCUCCGAUGACGUGUUGUUCUUGGCGACGCUCAUGAUCGCGAGUGCCACCUCUUUUACUUUGGUGUCGGCAUUGGUGGCCUCGAUCUCGAGCUUCUUGAGUUCUGUGGCCUUCUCAAUGUCAAGCUUCCUCCUCUUCACAACCUCCUUCAUGACAAGCUUCUUCGUUUGGAGCUCUAGGUAUAUCUUCAUUUGUUCCUCCUCUUCUCCCUCACUUUAUUUUGACCCAUCAUGUUCUCCAAGUUCCUUGCAAAGCUAUGAAAGAUGCAUCACCCUUCUCGUCGGCCUUGGAGCUUGCCUUGCCCCUCGACCUCUUGACCAAGUCAGCCUCAUCAGCCAUGGCCGCCUUCCCUCCUUUCUUCUUACGAGCGGCAUAUUGGUCUUUGAACUUGGGGCAAUAUUUGAUGAGCGAGCAACGAUUCGUGAGAGUAACCAGCUUGUUCUUGUGCCGAGCCUUGAAGGCUUUCAAAGAUUGGAAGGCAUGCAGCAAUUGUAACAUGGAAGGACACAAGAUGCAUGAAACAUAUAAAUGGAAUGCUAAGAAGAAAGGACACAAGACGAAAAAACAAAAGGUUCAUACCAAGUCACCAAGGCCUAGACCGCUCAAGGGACGGGUGAAAGAACGUGCGAUGUCUCCAUAUUUAGUUUUGGUAAUUGAUGACAAGCUCUAUGGGCUAAUGGUUGCCUUGAGUUAUAUUUGAAGGGUUUGUCCAUAGAUUUUUCUUGACGUCCAUUUGUUGGUUUUAAGGAUAGUAUGUGAUGACCAAGGUGUAAUUCAAGGAAUUAUCUAAAGAUUGGUCAUGUGAGAGGUUGAUCAAUACAAAGUCAAAGAGUGAAUCAAGUUGAUCAACACACAAAGUGUAGAAGAGGUACCAAGAGGGAUCAAGUGAUCCCAUGGCAUGGUAAGCAUUGUCCAUUAUGCUUUGUGCGCUAACCCAUGUUCUACGUGAGAGUUCUUUGUGGGGUUAGGUUGCGGUGUGCAAGUUCAAGUGGGUCAUCACGAAGAGAUCAUAUGCUUGAAGCUUGCCGUCCAUUGUGGUGACAAUGGACUUAUGAAGAUGCGCCGAAGAGUAGCUCACCCAUAGUGGAGUAUGGGGGGGGGGCAAUCUACUAGUUUUCACCGAGCCAACGCAAUCAAGAAAGGUAGUCCAUCUUGAGGAGGACAAGAUCGUCAACAUCUAGCUCAAGUGGAUUAUGCGCAAAGCAAAGGUUUGCCAUUGAUAGGUUUUCUAUUUUACCGGUCUCAUGGUGUUAGUUGGGAGACUGAGUUAUAGGAUCGAUUGUCGUACUAUCAAGGGGGGCUCUCAAGUGAGUAGCUUGAUCAUAUCGUUCAUAGAGAGCUCAAACCAUUGCAUCCUUGGCAUCAUAUUUCUUGGUUCUUGUUUGGUUUUUCUCAUUGUGAGGUUUGGAGCUUUUGGUCAUCUUCACGACAAGCUCGAGUUUGUCGGAAACGGAGUUCAUAUGCAUCUUCUAUGAUGUUUUCGAUGUUGAAGUUGUUGCCUAUUCUUCAUUCAUAGAGGUUUCACAUCUCUAUAUCAUUGGCAUUUUCUGCUGCCUCUUCUCACUAUAACCAACAAGCUUGAGUUUGCUCAAUUCGGAGCUCAUAUGCAGAAGUUAUGGCAGUUUCGAUUUUCUUGAUGCAUCUGUUUUGCUUGGGGCUUGCUUGAUGCACCCCUACAGUAGUACCACUCUGGGCAGCGGUAGUACCGCUUGCAAGCAGCAGUACCGUCCCAAUCGGGCGGUAGUACCGCUUGUAAGCAAUACUUUUGUUGUUCUAGUACCGCGCACACUUCCGCUUAUUCUGGGGGUUCCAUUUUUCAUGUAGGGUUCAACAAUAGUAGGGCGGUAGUGAGGUGUAGCAAUACCAUCUUUAAGCAGUAGUCGUCCCAGUCUGGCGGUAGUACCGCUGACGGGGUACUACCAUCGUGCUCUGCUCUGCCCUACCUACUCUACUCAUGUGUUCUGCAUCUCCCGCGGCAGUAUCGCUGGGAUGAGCGGCAAUACCGCUCCGACGGCUCUACCUCCCCAAGGUUCCUCGCUUUCGCUCUAUUUUCCUGAAUCUACUUCCCGAGCGAUAGUAGCGCUUGUGUGGGGGCUGAGCACAUAAUGUUGGAAAUAUGCCCUAGAGGCAAUAAUAAAUUAGUUAUUAUUAUAUUUCCUUGUUCAUGAUAAUCGUUUAUUAUCCAUGCUAUAAUUGUAUUGAUAGGAAACUCAGAUACAUGUGUGGAUACAUAGACAACACCAUGUCCCUAGUAAGCCUCUAGUUGACUAGCUCGUUGAUCAAUAGAUGGUUACGGUUUCCUGACCAUGGACAUUGGAUGUCAUUGAUAACGGGAUCACAUCAUUAGGAGAAUGAUGUGAUGGACAAGACCCAAUCCUAAGCGUAGCACAAAGAUCGUGUAGUUCGUAUGCUAAAGCUUUUCUAAUGUCAAGUAUCAUUUCCUUGGACCAUGAGAUUGUGCAACUCCCGGAUACCGUAGGAAUGCUUUGGGUGUGCCAAACGUCACAACGUAACUGGGUGGCUAUAAAGGUACACUACAGGUAUCUCCGAAAGUGUCUGUUGGGUUGGCACGAAUCGAGACUGGGAUUUGCCACUCCGUGUGACGGAGAGGUAUCUCUGGGCCCACUCGGUAGGACAUCAUCAUAAUGUGCACAAUGUGAUCAAGGAGUUGAUCACGGGAUGAUGUGUUAUGAAACGAGUAAAGAGACUUGCCGGUAACGAGAUUGAACAAGGUAUCAGGAUACCGACGAUCGAAUCUCGGGCAAGUAUCGUACCGCUAGACAAAGGGAAUUGUAUACGGGAUUGAUUAAGUCCUUGACAUCGUGGUUCAUCCGAUGAGAUCAUCAUGGAACAUGUGGGAGCCAACAUGGGUAUCCAGAUCCCGCUGUUGGUUAUUGACCGGAGAGUCAUCUCGAUCAUGUCUGCAUGUCUCCCUAACCCGUAGGGUCUACACACUUAAGGUUCGGUGACGCUAGGGUUAUAGAGAUAUUAGUAUGCGGUAACCCGAAAGUUGUUUGGAGUCCCGGAUGAGAUCCCGGACGUCACAAGGAGUUCCGGAAUGGUCCGGAGGUAAAGAAUUAUAUAUAGGAAGUGCUAUUUCGGGCAUCGGGACAAGUUUCGGGGUCAUCGGUAUUGUACCGGGACCACCGGAAGGGUCCCGGGGGUCCACCGGGUGGGGCCACCUGCCCCGGGGGCCACAUGGGCUGUAGGGGGUGCGCCUUGGCCUACAUGGGCCAAGGGCACCAGCCCUUAGAGGCCCAUGCGCCAAAGGGACAAGAGGAGGGGAGAGUCCUAAAGGGGGAAGGCACCUCCGAGGUGCCUUGGGGAGGAUGGACUCCUCCCCCCCUUGGCCGCACCCUUCCUUGGAGGAAGGGGCAAGGCUGCACCCUUCCCCUCUCCCUUGGCCCUAUAUAUAGUGGGGGGGAGGGAGGGCAACCAUACCUAAGCCCUGGCGCCUCCCUCUCCCUCCCAUGACACAUCUCCCUCCUCCCGCAGCGCUUGGCGAAGCCCUAUUGGAAUCCUGCUACUUCUACCACCACGCCGUCGUGCUGCUGGAUCUCCAUCAACCUCUCCUCCCCCCUUGCUGGAUCAAGAAGGAGGAGACGUCGCUGCUCCGUACGUGUGUUGAACACGGAGGUGCCGUCCGUUCGGCGCUAGGAUCAUCGGUGAUUUGGAUCACGACGAGUACGACUCCAUCAACCCCGUUCUCUUGAACGCUUCCGCGCGCGAUCUACAAGGGUAUGUAGAUCCACUCCUCCCUCGUUACUAGAUGACUCCAUAGAUAGAUCUUGGUGACACAUAGGAAAAUUUUGAAUUUAUGCUACGUUCCCCAACAGUGGCAUCAUGAGCUAGGUCUAUGCGUAGUUACUAUGCACGAGUAGAACACAAAGUAGUUGUGGGCGUUGAUUUUGUUCAAUAUGCUUGCCGUUACUAGUAUUAUCUUGAUUCGGCGGCAUCGUGGGAUGAAGCGGCCCGGACCGACCUUACACGUACUCUUACGUGAGACUGGUUCCACCGACUGACAUGCACUAGUUGCAUAAGGUGGCUAGCGGGUGUCUGUCUCUCCCACUUUAGUCGGAUCGGAUUCGAUGAAAAGGGUCCUUAUGAAGGGUAAAUAUCAAUUGGCAUAUCAUGUUGUGGUCUUUGCGUAGGUAAGAAACGUUCUUGCUAGAAACCCAUAGCAGCCACGUAAAACAUGCAAACAACAAUUAGAGGACGUCUAACUUGUUUUUGCAGGGUAUGCUAUGUGAUGUGAUAUGGCCAAAAGGAUGUGAUGAAUGAUAUAUGUGAUGUAUGAGAUUGAUCAUGUUCUUGUAAUAGGAAUCACGACUUGCAUGUCGAUGAGUAUGACAACCGGCAGGAGCCAUAGGAGUUGUCUUAAUUUAUUUAUGACCUGCGUGUCAACAUAAACGUCAUGUAAUUACUUUACUUUGUUGCUAACCGUUAGCUGUAGAAGUAGAAGUAAUAGUUGGCGAGACAACUUCAUGAAGACACGAUGAUGGAGAUCAUGAUGAUGGAGAUCAUGGUGUCAUGCCGGUGACAAGAUGAUCAUGGAGCCCCAAGAUGGAGAUCAAAGGAGCUAUAUGAUAUUGGCCAUAUCAUGUCACUAUUAUUUGAUUACAUGUGAUGUUUAUCAUGUUUAUACAUCUUAUUUGCUUAGAACAACGGUAGUAAAUAAGAUGAUCCCUCAUUACAAUUUCAAGAAUGUGUUCUCCCCUAACUGUGCACCGUUGCUAAAGUUCGUCGUUUCGAAGCACCACGUGAUGAUCGGGUGUGAUAGAUCCUUACGUUCACAUACAACGGGUGUAAGACAGUUUUACACAUGCAAAACACUUAGGGUUAACUUGAUGAGCCUAGCAUGUACAGACAUGGCCUCGGAACACAAGAGACCGAAAGGUCGAGCAUGAGUCGUAUGGUAGAUACGAUCAACAUGAAGAUGUUCACCGAUGAUGACUAGUCCGUCUCACGUGAUGAUCGGACACGGCCUAGUUGACUCGGAUCAUGUAAUCAUUUAGAUGACUAGAGGGAUGUCUAUCUGAGUGGGAGUUCAUAAGAUGAACUUAAUUAUCCUGAACAUAGUCAAAAGGUCUUCGCAAAUUAUGUCGUAGCUCGCGCUUCUGUUCUACUGUUUAGAUAUGUUCCUAGAGAAAAUUUAGUUGAAAGUUGAUAGUAGCAAUUAUGCGGACUAGGUCCGUAAACUGAGGAUUGUCCUCAUUGCUUCAUAGAAGGCUUAUGUCCUUAAUGCACCGCUCAGUGUGCUGAACCUCGAACGUCGUCUGUGGAUGUUGCGAACAUCUGACAUACACAUUUUGAUAACUACGUGAUAGUUCAGUUAAACAGUUUAGAAUUGAGGCACCGAAGACGUUUUUGAAACGUCGCAAAACAUAUGAGAUGUUUCGAGCGCUGAAAUUGGGAUUUCAGGCUCGUGCCCACGUCAAGAGGUAUAAGACCUCCGACGAUUUUCUUAGCCUGCAAACUAAGGGAGAAAAGCUCAAUUGUUGAACUUGUGCUCAUAUUGUCUGAGUACAACAAUCGCUUGAAUCGAGUGGGAGUUGAUCUUCCAGAUGAAAUAGUGAUGGUUCUCCGAAGUCAUUACCACCAAGCUGCUUGAGCUUCGUGAUGAACUAUAAUAUAUCAGGGACAUAUAUGAUGAUCCUUGAGAUAUUCGCGAUGUUUGACACCACAAAAGUAGAGAUCAAGAAGGAGCAUCAAUUGUUGAUGGUUGGUGAAACCACUAGUUUCAAGAAGGGCAAGGGCAAAAAGGGAUGCUUCAUGAAACGACAAAUCAGCUGCUGCUCUAGUGAAGAAACCCAAGGUUGAACCCAAACCCGAGACUAAGUGCUUCUGUAAUAAGGGGAACAACCACUGGAGCAGAAGUACCCUAGAUACUUGGUAGAUGAGAAGGCUGGCAAGGUCGAUAGAAGUAUAUUGGAUAUACAUUGUGUUGAUGUGUACUUUACUAGUACUCCUAGUAGCACCAGGGUAUUAGAUACCGGUUCGGUUGCUAAGUGUUAGUAACUCGAAAUAAAAGCUACGGAAUAAAUGGAGACUAGCUAAAGGUGAGCUGACGAUAUGUGUUGGAAGUGUUUCCAAUGUUGAUAUGAUCAAGCAUCGCACGCUCCCUCUACCAUCGAGAUUGGUGUUUGCGUUGAGCAUAGACAUGAUUGGAUUAUGUCCAUCGCAAUACGGUUAUUCAUUUAAAGAGAAUAAUGGUUACUCUAUUUAUUUGAAUAAUACCUUCAAUGGUCUUGCACCUAAAAUGAAUGGUUCAUUGAAAUCUCGAUCGUAGUGAUACACAUGUUCAUGCCAAAAGAUAGUAAUGAUAGUACCACCUACUUGUGGCACUACCACGUAAGUCAUAUCGGUAUAAAACGCAUGAAGAAGCUCCAUGUUGAUGGAUCUUUGGGCUCACUCGUUUUUGAAAAGUUUGAGGCAUGCGAACCAUGUCUAUUGGUGUAUAUGCAUGAAGAAACUCCAUGCAAAUGGACCGUUUGGACUCACUUGAUUUUGAAUCACUUGAGACAUGCAAAUCAUACCACAUGGGCAAGAUGACUGAAAGCCUCGUUUUCAGUAAAAUGGAACUAGAAAGCAACUUGUUGGAAGUAAUACAUUUUGAUGUGUGCAGUCCAAUGAGUGCUGAGGCAUGUAGUGGAUAUCGUUAUGUUCUUACUUCACAGAUGAUUUGAGUAGAUGUUGAGUAUAUUUACUUGAUGAAUCACGACUCUGAAUUAUUGAAAGGUUCAAGUAAUUUCAGGGUGAAGUUGAAAGAUCGUCGUGACAAGAGGAUAAAAGAUCUAUGAUAUGAUCAUAGAGAUGAAUAUCUGAAUUACGAGUUUGGCACAGAAUUAAGACAUUGUGGAAAUUGUUUCACAACUAAUACAACCUGGAACACCAUAGUGUGAUGGUGUGUCCGAACAUCAUAACUGCACCCUAUUGGAUAUGAUGCAUACCAUGAUGUCUCUUAUUGAAUUACCACGAUAAUUUAUGGGUUAGGCAUUAGAGACAACCGCAUUCACUUUAAAUAGGGCACCACGUAAUUCUGAUGAGAUGACACCAUAUGAACUAUGGUUUAGAGAAACCUAAGCUGUCAUUUCUUAAAAGUUUGGGGAUGCGACGCUUAUGUGAAAAAGUUUCAGGCUGAUAAGCUCGAACCCAAAGCGGAUAAAUGCAUCUUCAUAGGACACCUAAAACAAUUGGGUAUACCUCCUGUCUCAGAUCCGAAAGCAAUAAGGGAUUGUUUCUAGGAUCGGGUCCUUUCUCGAGGAAAAGUUUCUCUCGAAAGAAUUGAGUGGGAGGAUGGUGGAGACUUGAUGAGGUUAUUGAACCGUCUCUUCAACUAGUGUGUGGCAGGGCACAUGAAGUUGUUCCUGUGGCACCUACACUAAUUGAAGUGGAAGCUUAUGAUAGUGAUCAUGAAACUUCAGAUCAAGUCACUACCAAACCUCGUGGGAUGACAAGGAUGCGUACUACUUCAGAGUGGUACGUGAUCCUGUCUUGGAAGUCAUGUUGCUAGACAACAAUGAACCUACGAGCUAUGGAGAAGCGAUGGUGGGCCCAGAUUCCGAUAAAUGGCUCGAGGCCAUAAAAUCCGAGAGAGGAUCCAUGUAUGAAAACAAAGUGUAGACUUUGGCAGAACGGCUCGAUGGUCGUAAGGCUAUUGAGUGCAGAUGGAUUUUAAAAGGAAGACGGACAAUGAUGGUAAAUGUCACCAUUAAGAAAGCUCGACUUGUCGUUAAGAUGUUUUCCGACAAGUUCAAGGAGUUGACUACGAUGAGACUUUCUCACUCGUAGCGAUGCUAAGAGUCUGUUGGAAUUAUAUUAGCGAUUACUGCAUCAUUUAUGAAAUCUUGCAGAUAGGAUGUCAAACAUUGUUUCCUCGACGAUUUUCUUGAGGAAAGGUUGUAUGUGAUACAACCGGAAGGUUUUGUCAAUCCUGAAAGAUGCUAAUAAGUAUGCAAAGCUCCAGCAAUCCUUCUGAGGACUGGAGUAAGCAUCUCGGAGUUGGAAUGUAUGCUUUGAUGAUGAUCAAAGAUUUUGGGUUUAUACAAAGUUUAUGAGAAACUUGUAUUUCCAAAGAAGUGAGUGGGAGCACUAUAGAAUUUCUGAUAAGUAUAUGUUGUUGACAUAUUAUGGAUCAGAAAUGAUGUAGAAUUUCUGGAAAGCAUAUAGGGUUAUUUGAAAAGUGUUUUUCAAUGGAAAACCUGGAUUAGGCUACGUGAGUGUUGAGCAUUAAGAUCUACAAGGAUAGAUCAAAACGCUUAAUAGUACUUUCAAAUGAGCACAUACCUUGACAUGAUCUUGAAGGUGUUCAAGAUGGAUCAGUCAAAGAAGGAGUUCUUGCCUGAGUUGUAAGGUAUGAAGUUAAGACUUAAAGCUCGACCACGGCAGAAUAGAGAGAAAGGACGAAGGUCGUCCCCUAUGCUUAAGACAUAGGCUCUACAGUAUGCUAUGCUGUGCACCGCACCUGAAAUGUGCCUUGCCAUGAGUCAGUCAAGGGGUACAAGAGUGAUCUAAGAAUGGAUCACAGGACAACGGUCAAAGUUAUCCUUAGUAACUAGUGGACUAAGGAAUUUUCUCGAUUAUGGAGGUGGUAAAAGAGUUCAUCGUAAAGGGUUACGCCGAUGCAAACUUUGACACUAAUCCAGAUUAUUCUGAAUAGUAAACUGGAUUCGUAUAGUAGAACAGUUAUUUGGAAUAGCUCCAAAUAGAACGUGGUAGCUGCAUCUAGGAGAUGCCAUAGAGAUUUGCGAAGUACAUACGGAUCUGAAUGUAGCAGACCCGUUGACUAAAACCUCUCUCACAAGCAACAUGAUCAAACCCAGAACUCAUUGAGUGUUAAUCACAUAGUGAUGUGAACUAGAUUAUUGACUCUAGUAAACUCUUUGGAUGUUGGUUACAUGGCGAUGUGACCUGUGAGUGUUGAUCACAUGGCGAUGUGAACUAGAUUAUUGACUCUAGUGCAAGUGGGGGACUGUUGGAAAUAUGCCCUAGAGGCAAUAAUAAAUUAGUUAUUAUUAUAUUUCCUUGUUCAUGAUAAUCGUUUAUUAUCCAUGCUAUAAUUGUAUUGAUAGGAAACUCAGAUACAUGUGUGGAUACAUAGACAACACCAUGUCCCUAGUAAGCCUCUAGUUGACUAGCUCGUUGAUUAAUAGAUGGUUACGGUUUCCUGACCAUGGACAUUGGAUGUCAUUGAUAACGGGAUCACAUCAUUAGGAGAAUGAUGUGAUGGACAAGACCCAAUCCUAAGCCUAGCACAAAGAUCGUGUAGUUCAUAUGCUAAAGCUUUUCUAAUGUCAAGUAUCAUUUCCUUGGACCAUGAGAUUGUGCAACUCCCGGAUACCGUAGGAAUGCUUUGGGUGUGCCAAACGUCACAACGUAACUGGGUGGCUAUAAAGGUACACUACAUGUAUCUCCGAAAGUGUUUGUUGGGUUGGCACGAAUCGAGACUGGGAUUUGUCACUCCGUGUGACGGAGAGGUAUCUCUGGGCCCACUCGGUAGGACAUCAUCAUAAUGUGCACAAUGUGAUCAAGGAGUUGAUCACGGGAUGAUGUGUUAUGAAACGAGUAAAGAGACUUGCCGGUAACGAGAUUGAACAAGGUAUCGGGAUACCGACGAUCGAAUCUCGGGCAAGUAUCGUACCGCUAGACAAAGGGAAUUGUAUACGGGAUUGAUUAAGUCCUUGACAUCGUGGUUCAUCCGAUGAGAUCAUCGUGGAACAUGUGGGAGCCAACAUGGGUAUCCAGAUCCCGCUGUUGGUUAUUGACCGGAGAGUCAUCUCGGUCAUGUCUGCAUGUCUCCCAAACCCGUAGGGUCUACACACUUAAGGUUCGGUGACGCUAGGGUUAUAGAGAUAUUAGUAUGCGGUAACCCGAAAGUUGUUCGGAGUCCCGGAUGAGAUUCCGGACGUCACGAGGAGUUCCGGAAUGGUCCGGAGGUAAAGAAUUAUAUAUAGGAAGUGCUAUUUCGGGCAUCGGGACAAGUUUCGGGGUCAUCGAUAUUGUACCGGGACCACCGGAAGGGUCCUGGGGGUCCACCGGGUGGGGCCACCUGCCCCGGGGGCCACAUGGGCUGUAGGGGGUGCGCCUUGGCCUACAUGGGCCAAGGGCACCAGCCCUUAGAGGCCCAUGCGCCAAAGGGACAAGAGGAGGGGAGAGUCCUAAAGGGGGAAGGCACCUCCGAGGUGCCUUGGGGAGGAUGGACUCCUCCCCCCCUUGGCCGCACCCUUCCUUGGAGGAAGGGGCAAGGCUGCGCCCUUCCCCUCUCCCUUGGCCCUAUAUAUAGUGGGGGGGAGGGAGGGCAACCAUACCUAAGCCCUGGCGCCUCCCUCUCCCUCCCAUGACACAUCUCCCUCCUCCCGCAGCGCUUGGCGAAGCCCUGUUGGAAUCCUGCUACUUCUACCACCACGCCGUCGUGCUGCUGGAUCUCCAUCAACCUCUCCUCCCCCCUUGCUGGAUCAAGAAGGAGGAGACGUCGCUGCUCCGUACGUGUGUUGAACGCGGAGGUGCCGUCCGUUCGGCGCUAGGAUCAUCGAUGAUUUGGAUCACGACGAGUAAGACUCCAUCAACCCCGUUCUCUUGAACGCUUCCGCGUGCGAUCUACAAGGGUAUGUAGAUCCACUCCUCCCUCGUUGCUAGAUGACUCCAUAGAUAGAUCUUGGUGACACGUAGGAAUUUUGAAUUUAUGCUACGUUCCCCUACACAUAACGGUUGGAUUCGAGAGGUCCUAUAAAAUGGGGUCUUCUUCCUCAAUGGAUAUCAUCCUUUUAGCUCGUGUUCUUUCCCCAUUGUUGACCUUCUUCGAGAUUGCUAUCUCUCAAUCCCUCCAAUGAUUCUUGCUAAUUCUUGAGGAAAAAGAGAGAGGAGAUCUAGAUCUACGUUUCCACCAACCACUUUCUCCUUUAUGUGAGGGGAAACCUCUUGGAUGAUCUUGGAGUUCUUUGUGUUCUCUUCUUCGUUCUUCCUCUCAUUUUCCUCCACAACAUUAGUUGUUGUGAUGGGAUCCGGGAGAGAAGUACUUGGGCUAUCUAUGUGCCCUUGCCAUUGCGUUUGGUGCAUAGGUUUGAGUUCUUCACGGUGAUACUGGGAUGUGAAGUUUGAGCAGUUUUUUACUCUUGGGUGUUUGGUAUCGUAGAGCUUGUUCCUCUUGGGUGCUUGGGCGUUCUUGACGGUUGGUGGUGCUACGGAGCUCAAUCAUUGUAGUGUAAAGCUUCGUGCAAACGUCAGGGUCUCCAAUUAGGUUGUGGAGAUUGCCCCAAACAAUCUGUACGGGUUCCGGUGACUGCCCCAAGGGUUGCCAAAGUGUAGGGGUACCGGUGACCGCCCCCACGGGUUGCCUUUUGUACGGGUUUGGUGACAACCCUCAAGGGUCCCUUAGUGGAGUCACAACAUCUUGCAUUGUGAGGGUGUGAGGAGAUUACGGUGACCCUAUUGGCUUUUUGGGGAGCAUUGUGCCUCCACACCGCUCCAAACGAAGAUUAGCAUCCUCAAGGGUGUGAACUUGGGGAUACAUCAUCGUCUCCACGUGCCUCGGUUAUCUCUUACCCGAGCCCUUUACUUAUGCACUUUACUUUAUGAUAGCCAUAGUGUUUCAUGAUAUAUCUUGCUAUCACUUAGUUGUUUAUCUUGCUUAGCAUAAGUUGUUGGUGCACAUAGGUGAGCCUAUUGUUUUAGGUUUUAUGCUUAACAACUAAACGCUAGUUUUAUUCCGCUUUUGUUCAAGCCUAAACCAUAAUUAUUUUAAAGCGUCUAUUCACCCCCUCUAGGCAACAUCCACGAUCUUUCAACGGGCUUUGACGCUCUCAAGCGAGUCACAAUACUUGUUGCACUCUUGUUGAAUGAACCCCCAUCUCUUUUGAAUUGAGUUGAUGUCGCGGGUGCUCGCAAAUUGGUAGGGGGCAAACUUCCUUCGCUCAUGAUAGGUCUCCAUGAACUCUUGACCAAAAGACGAAUCCUUUUUGCUUGGCACCUUUCAUUGGAUCUUGGUCAAUCUCCAUCCAACUCUCGCAAAUCAAAGUGUCCUCCUCUUGGGUGUAUGAUUCCGUGUGAAUGCUCUCCCUCUUCUUUUGUGUUUUGGCCCUUUGGGUGAGCUCAUCGAUGAAGAAGGGCUCCUCCGCAAUGUCGACCUCUUCCUCCUCAUCUUCACAAUACAAGUCAUCACCUUCAUGCCAUGAGUUUCCAUGGUCGUCCUCAUCUUCAUCAUGGACGGCGAAUUAGGUGUCACCAUAGUGGUUGCGGUCGUCCUGGCUUUGGGUUUCUUCGGGAUCGAAAGCUUGGCCUUGGCCGUCGACGUGGAAGGCCUCACCACGACCCUCGAAGUCAGGGUCGUCGACUGUCGGUGUCGGCAGUGGCAUUUCGUCAAACAGCCUGCGGGGGCCGGCCAUGUUGGCCGAAGGGAUCGACCGGGGCUGCUUCCUCUGCACCCUGCUAGACAGCUGGCUGGCCAGCGCCACUAUCCCUCGGCGUCACGUUGAGGUCGAUGACGCCCGCGGAUGUGGCCGGAGCAACCACGCUGUAGUCCGACGAUGUGGAAAACCUUGUCUGCUCAUGGCCAUGCAGCGGCGGUGCACGAUACCCUGGCGUCUCAGGUGUGACAGACGAGCUCUGGGACCGGUGCUGCAAAGGAUGAACGGCCGACGAUCCUGUGCUGGUCGCGGCCAUGGCAGCGACCAAGAGAAUGGCCAGUAGGGGGCGGCACUACCCUAACAUGAGGAAGGCGUGCACCUUGGCGACGAUGGACUCCUUGUUGUCGACGUCGUCCUGGUGCUGCAUGGCACGCAGCGCGGCCGUCUCGGCGGCGUAGUCGGCAACGGCCUUCUUCUCCGCCACCUUUGUCCGCUGAUUCCUCCUCUUGGCCGAUUCGGCAUCGAGCUUGGUGACCGGCGUGAGCUCCGACUGCGGCUUCUUAGUAGUCUUCUUCUUCACAACAGGGGAUGCGGGCAUGGCUGGGUCAACAGGGUUCGUCACGCCGCCAGCCAUGGUGGAGGGAAGGGAGGGGUGCGGGAGGGUUUUGGGCGAAAUGGAGGUGAAAUGGGCGGGCGUGUCCCCGACGGAUGGUCCAGAGGAGGACAAGGGCGCGCGUCCCACCCGUCUGCGCGUUGUCCAUUUCGACGCAAGCGCGGCCAAAAUUUAGGCCAGAAAUGGGUCAAAAACGGAUAUUGGUCCAAUUGCCCCGUGUGUUGGGCCGCCUAUUCUGUCCGUUUAUCCCCAAAUGGACGUGGCCGGAUCAUUUGGGAUCGCGCGUUGGAGUUGCCCUAACUGCACCACUCCAUCUUCCCUACUAUGCUUUUAUUAGUGUCUCGUCUAAGCGUGCUACUUAAAAGAGAGAAAGAAAUGAACUAGUUUAAGCUUUGCAUCGAUCGGGUGAUGAUACAGAGGGCAGGCGCAUUGCUCCGCUCCGCUGCAACGGACACAUCUCCGGUUUGGCACCACGAUCAGCCAGCCAUUAAACAUAAGCACGCACGGCCGGAAGCAGCUAAGGAGCAGUUGGCCAUCUACAGCAAUUGCUAUCCGGCACGACAGUGCGUGCGGUCGGUGGCGCGUGCACCUCCUGCCCUCCGGACGUGUUAACGAUAAAAAUGGCCCGCUUCAAUCAGGACGAGUGGCGCUGUGCAAUGUGCCAUGUCCAGUCACCAUCACUUCCUUCCACGCCAAAAGACACGACGUCCCAAAGGCCAAAGCCAAGCAUCUCUAUCCCCUUCUUCUUUGCAGCGUCCCGUUCCCAAGUACGGCAGAGUGGAGGAAGCACGGAACGGGCAAACAGGCCGGACGUAGAAAGAGAGGUUAACCAAUCCAACCAUUGCCCCGGCGAAUCGAUAAUGCCGAUGGAUCGACCAGGACCAGCCAACAACCACCAACCGCCGGCUCUCUGCUGCCGCUGGGAACCAGGUUGGGCCACCGCCCGCGCUGGCCGCCGGUACAGGGUGAACAGCGAAUCAUGCCCAGAUGGGGGUUGGAUUUGACCUGUCUCGCGUCGCAUGUAAUUGCACAAUAAUGAUCUACUGUGAGGGUUAGCAUGGGAUCGGGCCGUAUAAGAGACAGACACUCCAACCCCACAAUUCACGGUGCGUUAUUUUUCCAUUUCUACGACGACGAUUUUGCCGCAAUCGAUGCAACACGUGACUGUAUAGUCCCACUCAUUUUCAUCACGUACUAAUGAAACCAAUAUUUUUGUGACAUACUCGCACUUGCCAAUUGCCAUCUCGCUGCCGUCAGAAAAGCAAGCACGCCGUGUCACCGCGGCAGGUAGCUGUCUCGCGCCUGUACGGUAAUGCGUAACGGCUUCUAUUAUCCAGAGGCCGUUUUCUCUCCACCGGAAUGAAUUUCUUAAGUACUUGACCUAACCAGAGUUGAAAAUAAUCACAACUACUUUUCCUUGAAUAAAAGAGAAGCGGGAAAGGAAAAGAUGGAGAAAAGCGAAGGGAGGGAAUAAAGGGCGAGAACAUGAUCAUCAUAGACUCAAUUAUGCUCAGCAAAAGCUUUCGGCUCAACUCACGCAAGAUAUCUCGCCGUGAAAUUAGCUGCCACCCGCAAGAAUGUGACGCCGAUCAAAAUGUAGUAUCAAAGACUUCACAUCCGGAAGCGACCAGAAGAGGGUGCAGUACUCAGCUGCCAGAUUAAAUGCCCAGCUAGUUCUAUAAAAAUGGCGUCGCAGCAGAUUUUUGGUUGAGGUGGGGGAGAGGGAAAGAAACGGCAAGCCUACGACGCGGGCCAAAAUGUAUUGCGUUUGUAGAUGAGUUUGCAUCUACAUCAGGCAAUUUGAUGCGGAGAUGUUGGUGGUGUGCAUUAACGACUAGCAAUUCUUGAAAAGGAUGGUACUCCUACACCUUCAAUCAAUAAAAAAACAACAGAUAGGCAGCUGUAUAUAAAACUAAAACAAACGCAUGAGGAAACGUCAACGGGCAAAAACAUAGAAGCCCCUCUCAGGGUCUUAACGUCAUGAUCGAAAGCCGAGACGAUGCCGUGCUGCUUGCCGUAACUGGGUAUCAUGCGGUGCCUAGCUGUUCCUGCUCGGUACCACUAGAGGAAUAUGUGCCAAGACGCGCGGAGCUGUCGGCCUUUGCUCGCUUUAAGGUGCACUACAAAGCACGACACCUCACAGGCACGGCUCCGGGCUUACCAGUGAACUACCUCCAGCACUAUACUCGUGCAAAUUCAGGAUGGAUCAAUAGCAGCAGCAACAUCUAUCAGUGAAACUGACAACGUGAUGCUUGAACGAGAGAGAAAGAGAAAACAAUGAAACUGAACGGCAUCCCUCACUACAACACAACAACGGAACGGUCUGAACUUGAUCACGGUUUUGUGAUUCAUAAAAUGCGAGGUUGGGAAAUUUCAAUGGGACAUUCUUAGUGAUUUGCCUUUCGCUUGCUAGCCAGACAGAUUAGGUUAUUAAUAUUGACUGUAUAACCCAGAUAUGAAGGUACUGGGACAAAAAUAUGAACGAGUUAAUCAAUUGCUUGUCCUUCAACAGUGCUAUGACAAUGUGGCUAACUAAUGGCUCUGUCCCUCCAACAGAAAAGAGGCAAUCAUUUGCCUGGACUUUUGUGCAUGGCUGAGAGAAGCAUGGUAUCGCCAAAUUAAAUUAGACUAUGCAUUUCAACUUUCAAGAGAUUAUAAAUGAUACUAAUAUGCAAAAGAAAGCUCAUGAUUAAAGGGUAAAGGCAUUCCCUUUUCCAUUUUAGUGAAGCGAUUGGGCGUAGCUGUAUGGUUUGUAUUUCUAUAGCGCGUCCAACAGUCCUACGACGACCAUAUGAUGGUUUGCCUCAUUCUUAUAAUAUUAUAAAAGUUAGAAAGGUACCCAGAUUUGGGAGAAAUAAACUUAGCAAGUUAUAAAAAAAAAAACUGGAGUUGACUUGUUUGGUGCUCAGUCAACUAGAGAGUAGAGACUAGCAGUUUAGAACAUGUUUCCAUUGGUUUUAGCACCAUCAUGUUAUAUAUGUUCAAAUAUUAAUAACUGAAGAAGGCUAAAGAUAUUGAUGCAUUAUGGGCUCGUGCAGUAGUGCCUAACUGUCUAUACAUGAAACAAAACAUUCCGAGUUAUAAUUCCUAUUCCUACAUCCAACACUUAUCUGAAGACAAGAAUAUCUUAGUAACAUAGAUGUAUCUGAAACUCCAAGGAUGAAGGUGGGUGCGUAGUAAGAGGCUGAGCAGAUACACUGUUAAAUUGCGUAGAAAAGUUAGUAUGUACCCUAAUUUACUUUCAGUACUCUUUUCUUCCAACUCAAAGCAUUCACAAAAGUCCAUAGUGCUAUCAAACAGAAUAACAUUUUGCCAACAGCACAUUUAAUCUUAUCUUACAACUUGCUAUUUUAAAUAUAUAGGAUAUAGGAGUAGCAAUCCCAGACCAGAAC
rnacentral:lncRNA from 1 species